AUAUUAAGCUUUCGGGAUUACAAAUGAAAACAAUUUUUUAAAUGUAUGUCAUUUGAAUGGAGCAAUACCUGCUCACAGAUCCAAAUACCGCCAGUGCACGCUCUUUCCAAUAUGCUGCUAUUAUUAUCGCCCACGAAUUAUCCCAUCAAUGAUUUGGAAAUUUAGUUACGAUGGACUGGUGAAACGCGUUUUGGUUAAAUUGAGGGUUUGCUAGUUACAUGGAGUAUAUCGGCACUGAUGCAGUAAGUAAUAGAAGUCUCAAAUUUCAAUAUACAAUCUUCUUUUAUACUGGAAAUAUAGUCGUUAAGGUUGGGCCGGGUUUUAGAACUACGGACCAGAUUAUCCUUGAAAAUCUACAGUACGUAUUCGGUGUUGAUGCACACACUCCUGCCAAAAUAAACUCAAUAUUUGAUUCUAUUUUAUACGAAAAAGGUUUGUUGAUUGCUACUGAAGCUACAGAAAAAAAUAAAAACAAAAAAGAACAAAACA